UACGUAGGGUGCGAGCGUUGUCCGGAAUUAUUGGGCGUAAAGGGCUCGUAGGCGGUUUGUCGCGUCGGGAGUGAAAACCCAGGGCUUAACCCUGGGCUGGCUUCCGAUACGGGCAGACUAGAGGUAUGCAGGGGAGAACGGAAUUCCUGGUGUAGCGGUGAAAUGCGCAGAUAUCAGGAGGAACACCGGUGGCGAAGGCGGUUCUCUGGGCAUUACCUGACGCUGAGGAGCGAAAGCGUGGGUAGCGAACAGG
rnacentral:rRNA from 1 species